UGGGGAAUUUUGGACAAUGGGCGAAAGCCUGAUCCAGCAAUGCCGCGUGUGUGAAGAAGGCCUUCGGGUUGUAAAGCACUUUUGUCCGGAAAGAAAUCCUUGGCUCUAAUACAGUCGGGGGAUGACGGUACCGGAAGAAUAAGCACCGGCUAACUACGUGCCAGCAGCCGCGGUAAUACGUAGGGUGCAAGCGUUAAUCGGAAUUACUGGGCGUAAAGCGUGCGCAGGCGGUUUGCUAAGACCGAUGUGAAAUCCCCGGGCUCAACCUGGGAACUGCAUUGGUGACUGGCAGGCUAGAGUAUGGCAGAGGGGGGUAGAAUUCCACGUGUAGCAGUGAAAUGCGUAGAGAUGUGGAGGAGUACCGAUGGCGAAGGCAGCCCCCUGGGCAAUACUGACGCUCAUGCACGAAAGCGUGGGGAGCAAAACAGGAUUAGAUACCCUGGUAGUCCACGCCCUAAAACGAUGUCAACUAGUUGUGGGGAUUCAUUUCCUUAGUAACGUAGCUAACGCGUGAAGUUGACCGCCUGGGGAGUACGGUCGCAAGAUUAAAACUCAAAGGAAUUGACGGGGUCAUAGCUGUUUCCU
rnacentral:rRNA from 1 species